CUUCAGCAACUACUUUAUCUAUCAUCUCCGUUCAUCGUCAAGUAUCUUUAAGUUAGUUUACCAACAAAACACAAUCAAAUUACCAAAAAACUAGAUCAUCAAUUUUAGUACACAAGUCAUGCCAUCAUAAGAUAAAAUUACCAAGAAUACAUCUUAAGAAUUAAGAAAGCAAAUGGAGGAAAAUUCAACUAUCAGCAACAACUACUACAAUAGAUGGUAACACAUGCUAAAUCACCAUGUGAAUUGAACUUCUAACUCUAGUAGGUGCUUUCCUAGAGUAUUGUAGUCAAGGUAGAAAGUAUCUUAUGGUCCUUAAAAUGAUAGUCAUAAGCCUUAAGACUGGCCACUAUCAUUUGCAAGGACAUUAUAUACAGUAGGUACAAUGACAUAACUCUAUUCCUCCGCUUUCUUCGUCGCCAACACUAUUACUACCACUAGACCAAAGCCUAAGUACAAAAAACUAUACACACAAAAUAGAGGAAAAAUGAACGCAAACACGAACAUAUUUAAAAAAGUAUCAUGUUCCAUUAAAAAAAUGAAAAUUGAUAAACACUAAAAAAGCAACAAAAAUUUUAAAAAAAAAAAAAGUGACAAAACACUAGUCAAAACCUUAAGUUAUAUCAUUUUAUUCAACUUCUACAACUCCAUCUUCUCCAUCACCACCACUUCAAUAUCCGAGCCUCAAAGAACCAUUUCUGCCUCCUUUUUUUUUUGCCUCAUUUUUGCAAUAUCAACUAACAACCUGCAUUUCAGGCAGAGAGUAUGAAAAACUGUUAGGUACUUCAUAAUAAGUAAAAUGCAUUCAAAAUCUGUGUAUGCUUCAUCUUCUUGGGGAUAGAGAUCCAAAGAAUUUAGUAAUUAACAACAAUUUAUUGAUCCACAUCAUCUAAUUUUGCAGCAGUUGCAAUGUGUCCAACCAUAAAGUUUCAUGUCUUUAUGUGAAUUUCACAUCGCAAACCUCUUUUCUCUACCUAUUGCAGCCAAGCUUUCCACUUUUUUCUCUCUCUCCUGCUUGCCCCCAAAGCAAAAUACAAAGAAGAUGAAGAAAAUAUUGGCUAUUAAAAAUUCCACAGUAGAUUAAUAUGCCACGUUUAAGGUAACUGUAAAAAUUGGUGGCGUCAACAUAAAUGAUAUCAUUCAAUUCCAUAAAUGAAAUCCAUUUUCACGGCAGCACUCACACAACGCACCUGGAGUAGGUCUUUCCAUAUAGCUCGAGAAAACAUUUCUAGCGAGCCGCUUAAAUUAGCCGGCUUCCGACCACCCUCGUCUUAGCACCUCAAUCGUCUAUAGUAGUUCGUCCACUGCCGCACACCUAGCCAACAAAAACCCAAUCUAGUGUUGGCUAUUCCAAUAGACAUCACCACACCAUCCCUCGUCGACCAAAACACGAAAAGCAGAGACAUUAACCUAAUCGACGUAGCACCAUCACUGUCGCUGUAGCAGCGACAUGGCAACUGCAAUAGUAGUGUACAGGGCAUUUGUGAUCUCUGUACUCGGUUGGGAGGUUUUGAGAUUUGAGGGUUUUGUUUUAAUUUAGAACGUAAUAAAUACGGGUUUAUGUAAUGUUUAAGUAAUUUAGAGUAUUAAUCUAAUUGGGUCACUUUGUAGAGUAUAGGGCCUAAUUUCCCCAUAAUAGUUCGAGGGCAACUGAAGCUGCACUCUUCCGUCCUCACCUUAUUAAGAUGCUCGUGCUUAAUGUAGUGAUCAUCCGUCUAUCAAUUGAAUGGUGGGUAAACUUUUUUUUUUUUUGGGUAGCUGCAAGAGAGAAGUCGACCAUGUACAGCAAGAGAGUCAGCCGUCGAUGCCAUCGCCUCCGACGAAAUCUUGAGCAAAUACUAUGUAAGUAUGAUUUUCGUUCAUUGCUUGCUAUUGUGGUCGACUAAUAUCAAUUUCAAUGAAUGCAACCCGAAUAUAUUCUUGCAUUUUAAUCCAUUUUUUUUUCUUUUUUCCCAGUUCUACGUUUGAAACAGAAAGAUUAUUAUUAAUUUUUUUUUUUUUGGAAUUCUUUGUUUCUUCCAUAAUUAUAUACGCAACAUUUAAUUUGAUGAGAUGCUUGGAUUUAUGAGUUAUUUCUAGGAAUCUAUGAGUGUUGAAUUUGGUGAUUUAUCGUUUUGAUUUAAUUUAUAAGGAAGGCGAUUUUUUCCCUUUUGGAAGUUUUCGCACUAUUUCAAUUCGGUCUCCUUCCCUUUUUAAGAUUUAUUAGCUGUAACAAUUCCAAGGAAAAAAUGAAUGGAUUAUGAGUUUUGUAAAUUUGUGGAUUUUACAUUGGUGUGUGGUUGUUGUCUAAUGUAGUGCAACCUGUCUUUCGUUUGGAUGUAGGAUGGCUGGAAGGAACUUCGAACGAUGUUAUAGCUGUAGAGAGAAGGGGCACUUCUUUGCGGAUUGCCCAAAGAAAUGAUGAUUCUCAUGGUGUAAAAUUGGACAUGUGAAGUGCUUUGAGGUUGAGAGGGAAACGAAGAACAAGGAAAAAUUGUUCAAUUGCUGUCGUGCUAACUGUAAAUACUCGGAAUGGGUUGNCAAUAGGA
rnacentral:lncRNA from 1 species